rnacentral:rRNA from 1 species
UACGUAGGGGGCUAGCGUUGUCCGGAAUCAUUGGGCGUAAAGCGCGCGUAGGCGGUCCGGUAAGUCCGCUGUGAAAGUCGGGGGCUCAACCCUCGGAUGCCGGUGGAUACUGUCGGGCUUGAGUGCGGAAGAGGCGAGUGGAAUUCCUGGUGUAGCGGUGAAAUGCGCAGAUAUCAGGAGGAACACCAAUUGCGAAGGCAGCUCUCUGGGACGGUACUGACGCUGAGACGCGAAAGCGUGGGGAGCGAACAGG